UACGGAGGGUGCAAGCGUUAUCCGGAUUUACUGGGUUUAAAGGGUGCGUAGGUGGGCAGGUAAGUCAGUGGUGAAAUCUCCGAGCUUAACUCGGAAACUGCCAUUGAUACUAUCUGUCUUGAAUUAUCUGGAGGUGAGCGGAAUAUGUCAUGUAGCGGUGAAAUGCUUAGAUAUGACAUAGAACACCAAAUUGCGAAGGCAGCUCACUAACGGAUAUAUUGACACUGAAGGCA
rnacentral:rRNA from 1 species